rnacentral:rRNA from 1 species
GAUGAACGCUGGCGGCGUGCCUAAUACAUGCAAGUCGAGCGAACGGACGAGAAGCUUGCUUCUCUGAUGUUAGCGGCGGACGGGUGAGUAACACGUGGAUAACCUACCUAUAAGACUGGGAUAACUUCGGGAAACCGGAGCUAAUACCGGAUAAUAUUUUGAACCGCAUGGUUCAAAAGUGAAAGAAGGUCUUGCUGUCACUUAUAGAUGGAUCCGCGCUGCAUUAGCUAGUUGGUAAGGUAACGGCUUACCAAGGCAACGAUGCAUAGCCGACCUGAGAGGGAGGACGGCCACACUGGAACUGAGACACGGUCCAGACUCCUACGGGAGGCAGCAGUAGGGAAUCUUCCGCAAUGGGCGAAAGCCUGACGGAGCAACGCCGCGUGAGUGAUGAAGGUCUUCGGAUCGUAAAACUCUGUUAGUAGGGAAGAACAUAUGUGUAAGUAACUGUGCACAUCUUGACGGUACCUAAUCAGAAAGCCACGGCUAACUACGUG